rnacentral:rRNA from 1 species
UUUCACACUGCCGAGAAAAGCCUCUAGAUAGAAAAUAGGUGCCCGUACCGCAAACCGACACAGGUAGUCAAGAUGAGAAUUCUAAGGUGAGCGAGCGAACUCUCGUUAAGGAACUCGGCAAAAUGACCCCGUAACUUCGGGAGAAGGGGUGCUCUUUAGGGUUAACGCCCAGAAGAGCCGCAGUGAAUAGGCCCAAGCGACUGUUUAUCAAAAACACAGGUCUCUGCUAAACCGUAAGGUGAUGUAUAGGGGCUGACGCCUGCCCGGUGCUGGAAGGUUAAGAGGAGUGGUUAGCUUCUGCGAAGCUACGAAUCGAAGCCCCAGUAAACGGCGGCCGUAACUAUAACGGUCCUAAGGUAGCGAAAUUCCUUGUCGGGUAAGUUCCGACCCGCACGAAAGGCGUAACGAUUUGGGCACUGUCUCAACGAGAGACUCGGUGAAAUCAUAGUACCUGUGAAGAUGCAGGUUACCCGCGACAGGACGGAAAGACCCCGUGGAGCUUUACUGUAGCCUGAUAUUGAAAUUCGGCACAGCUUGUACAGGAUAGGUAGGAGCCUUUGAAACGUGAGCGCUAGCUUACGUGGAGGCGCUGGUGGGAUACUACCCUAGCUGUGUUGGCUUUCUAACCCGCACCACUUAUCGUGGUGGGAGACAGUGUCAGGCGGGCAGUUUGACUGGGGCGGUCGCCUCCUAAAAGGUAACGGAGGCGCUCAAAGGUUCCCUCAGAAUGGUUGGAAAUCAUUCAUAGAGUGUAAAGGCAUAAGGGAGCUUGACUGCGAGACCUACAAGUCGAGCAGGGUCGAAAGACGGACUUAGUGAUCCGGUGGUUCCGCAUGGAAGGGCCAUCGCUCAACGGAUAAAAGCUACCCCGGGGAUAACAGGCUUAUCUCCCCCAAGAGUUCACAUCGACGGGGAGGUUUGGCACCUCGAUGUCGGCUCAUCGCAUCCUGGGGCUGUAGUCGGUCCCAAGGGUUGGGCUGUUCGCCCAUUAAAGCGGUACGCGAGCUGGGUUCAGAACGUCGUGAGACAGUUCGGUCCCUAUCCGUCGUGGGCGUAGGAAAUUUGAGAGGAGCUGUCCUUAGUACGAGAGGACCGGGAUGGACAUACCUCUGGUGUACCAGUUGUCGUGCCAACGGCAUAGCUGGGUAGCUAUGUGUGGACGGGAUAAGUGCUGAAAGCAUCUAAGCAUGAAGCCCCCCUCAAGAUGAGAUUUCCCAACUUCGGUUAUAAGAUCCCUCAA